CAGAUUGAACGCUGGCGGCACGCUUAACACAUGCAAGUCGGGCGGUAACAUGUUAGUAGCUUGCUACUAAUGAUGACGAGCGGCGGACGGGUGAGUAAUACGUAGGAACCUGCCUUAGAGAGGGGGACAACCAAGGGAAACUUUGGCUAAUACCGCAUACACUCGAAAGAGGAAAGCUGCCUUAGUAAAAGGUAGCGCUGUAAGGAGGGCCUGCGUCCGAUUAGCUAGUUGGUAGGGUAA
rnacentral:rRNA from 1 species